rnacentral:lncRNA from 1 species
GAUGACCUCGUCCCUCCCACGAUCGACCUCACCAUGGUAGAUCCAUAUGGUAUAGUCUGACGUAAAUCCAUGCAUAACAAGAUGUUUACCCAUUUCUAACUUGGUUUGCCGACGCAUGUUUCCACAUUUGCUACACGGACACCAAGUAUCUCUUCCUCCUUUGAUCCUUGCAAAUGCCCAUUCCAAGAAAGCAUCGGUCUUGUUUAUCCAUUCAUCGGUCAACGAAUUUUGACUAGAUCGGCCCGUGUACAUCCACUAACGAUCCUCC